GACGGGGCGCCGGGCACAGAGGCUCCCAGUUGAGGAGGCCGACGCGGUCAAGAGGUCAGUGUGGGAUCAGGCGAGGCCGGCAGCACGUACGGCCUGCCGGAGUCGAUGCACCUGCUCAACAUCAACAUCAGAGGGAGGAGGCCAGCAACUACCAGUGGACGCGCAGCAGUGGAUGCUCACAUGUGGUUUUGAACUGCGCGAGCAUGGCCGUCAGAUGGGAGCUGCUUCAGAAAGAGCAUGGACAGUAUGCGGAAGAGGGCGAGGUGCGGCGCCAUGGCAGAAUCUCUGCACUAUGACUAUAUAUCCCUUCUUUUAUUCUUCGUUAGUGUCUUCUCUGUUUGCUAAUUUCUGGAUUUAUUGAUUGAUGUUAUCUGCUCAGGUUCUUCUUGUGGAUUCAUAAAUGUUGUUUCCAUGUGAACAUAUGGUUGCAAACAACCUUGAUAGCAGUACUAGAUUGAUGUGUUAUAACAAAAACUGCUAGACUAUUUUUUGGCCUUCUACUUUGUAGAUGUGAGUAUAUUUGAAAAAUAAAUGAAAAUUGGAGGAGACCAUCUUCCACUCAUUAUUUUACUUGGUAUACUGUUGUUUGCAUGACUGCUCCAGAUCUAUUUGUACACCAAUUAGGAUCUUAUUUGGAGACCCAUUAAAUCCUAUGAAGCAUAAUUUAUUAAAGCAUAUACUUCUUAGUACCAGCUUGACUAUUCAAGUUCCCUUAAUUUCUUACUUGGAAGGACUUAUUAAUGCCUUGCUUCCUGGCAGCAGUUCAAUAGCCCUGCUCUUUUGCUUUCUGGUUCUGUCUUGCGGCUACCAUGGGACAAGUGAUAUCUCCGAUGGUGGGUUUUUUCAGUUCUUGGUGCAUGUGCGUUUGAAUUCGCAGGUUUACAAUUAGUUCUGGGAAAUAAACAUAGAUUAUGCCCAUUGUGUUGUUUUACUACUUUUAUAUCUUCUCUUCUUUCAGUUAAGUGCUAUGAGUGUUUGGUCAGCGUAAUGAUUCUGAGUGUUUCAGUAUUUCAUUCUCAAUGGAAUGUAUGCAUUACCUGGGCUACCAGUCGAGGUAUCUAGGCUUGGGAGAUGUAUAUGUAGAUGAGGGGAUGUGGCGAUGGCCAUCCGCCUAGCCUGGUGAGUUGUGUCUUGGGAGAUGUAUAUGUCGGAAAGAGGUUACCAAAGGUUGCGUGUGGCUGCAGCGAACUUAUCUUCGUUCUUCUCCCAUUUCAUUCGCUUGCCUCAUAUUUCUGUCUGCAAUAUUUAUCUGAUAUGUUGAUGUGUGAUUUCUUCCUUCUGAGUAUAACCUGAAACUAAUCCGGCAUAUGGUGAGGGUUUUGGUUUAGAUUGGUUUGCUUCACUUACUGGAAUCACGUGCCUUCUUUUUUCAUGCCAUUCUUUGGUUUAAUGUCAGUUUACAUAGUUUACACUCCAUAAUUUUACAUUAACUCCUAAUACAUUCAUAAUCCGUAUAUUUUGCCCCUCACUUGCACUACACCUUCAUGAUUGUAUUCCUCUAUGAAUACAGAGUGCUACCACAAAAAUGGAUGAUUGGAAAAAGAAAGUGCAUUGCUCUGCUUUUCAUAAGAAAUCAUGAGAAAAUGUUGUAUGUAACCAGAAAAGGUGUAAGAAAUAAACUGAGUGGAAAAACUUUACGGAAGGUCCAUAAUUUUUAAUUGUCACUGUUUAAAUUAAAUUUGUCUAAUUUCCCUUCAUAAAACAAAGGUGCAGAGAAGCAAAUGAAGGGGGUCUGCAACUGAUCAUCUAUGGGGCUAGCUACUCCUUGGCGUGGCUUCAGUUGUCCGCGGGAAUCUGCGAGCUCCUCGUGAGAAGCUCUAUCAAUUAUAUGAAUGAAUUUUACAUACUACAUGGAAGAACAAGGAAAUCGAGGCUUUUUAUAUGGGUGUAAAUUAUUUUGUACAAAGUGCAAUCUUGGGUACCUCUUGGAUUCUUUGGACACCACACAGAAAUCAAAGCAGAUUGAGAGGCCAGGUCAUAUGUCAGUCAAUUACAUUUAGUGUAUAUUCAUCCAAGACCAAGUACAACUAUAUCUUAUGGUAAAGUAAGACGAAUGUAAGCAGGUACAGCUGCGUACAACAGAAAUCCAUGUUUUUUCAGGUUUGCUAAGUCCCUUUUUCUUUUCUUAUUACAUUCCCCAACAUACGUUACUCUUUUCCCGUUGUUCAUAUUAUUUAUUGCUGCCAAUUUAUAUUGAUUUAGUAGCAUAUUUUUUACUGUACAACCGGCGGCCAUAAGGCAAUAUUUGUUCAUCCCGGCGUCUAUUCAGUUUGGACUGUGGCGGUCUAGCCAAUCCCAAGUGGCAAAAACCAACCAAUCUGAAGUUACUGGGCUAUUUUUACAGUUGACAUAGUCUAUAGGAUGACAAUGAACUUGCAAUUUCUAUGUGCAAUAUAGCUCCUUUUUCCUCUGAUGAUUGGUCCCUGACAAAGGCUAUUUUUACAGUUGACAUAGUCUAUAGGAUGGCAAUGAACUUGCAAUUUCUAUGUGCAAUAUAGCUCCUUUUUCCUCUUAUGAUUGGUCCCUGACGAAGGUGUUGUGCACAUCACCGUUGAAUCAAAGUACCACAUUUGACACCAAUAGAGAUUUAAUUGCUCCAGGUUAGCUUCUACAUGGCUUAUAUUAUGUAGAUACUUCAGUUUAAAAAUUAUAUACCUCGCUAUGGAAUGGGGACCGCAGGUGCUUAGUCUGUUUCCAGAUCCUUUUGUCGCGCUGACUUCCGCCCAUCUCCAACAUAGAAACAAGUGAGUGAGAUGUGAUGGUGGAUGCUAUUUGCUUAUUUAAAGAAGAAUCAUGACACUUCGCCAAUUUGCAUCGUUCUCAUGUGGUAUUCAUGCUUAUGUCGGUCAUAUAAUAAAAUAUCUCGAAACGUCCUUUCCAUUAUCAGGAGCUAAAAGGGAAAUGCUACAAAAGCUAAAUAUGACAUUCAGUUUAAUUUUGAGUAGAUAUUUAUUUUCUUAGUUUUUAUUCUAUCCAGAGUAAUAUUUUGAUACUUACAUUAUUAUCAGUUUUCAUGUUGCAAUUCAAAGUCUGGUUUUAUUUGGAGCGGGGCGCUACCCGUCGAGAUUGAGCGUCAUCGGCAGGUUCAGAGAGGGGAGAUUGAGAGAAUGUGGAAAUAAGAGAAAAAUAAAUAUGGGAUGACCAUGAAAAACAAAAUGUAGAAAAAAUUACUUAGCCUAUUACCUGGUCCAGUUUCACAUAACGCAUUAAAAAAUGUACUGCCAACUAGACCAUUUGAUUAUCUAGACGUUCUUUUGUACUCCUACCCUGUUCAUACUCAUAUGUAAAUGCACCGGCACACUAUGCUCAUUUUGGAUGAAAUCUACAAAGAUCAUAUAGGAAGAGAGGUCUAACUGGGGUAUCUUUGAACCAAUCGCCCUGAAGGAGUUGUUCCCAGAUCAGUCCUCAAUGUGUAACUGUCGACCAUUAAAAGUAAUUUAUACACAUAAUAUACACCCAUGCACUUGCAACUAACCAGUAUAAAUUCUCUUUUGCAGCAAUUAAAAGUCAACAAAUCCACUGGAGCAUCCCUUCCUCUUUUGGGCAGAACAAAGUACUUCAUGGCCAUCUCUAUCGCCUUUUCCCAUAAUUACUUGAGUUUAUGGUCAUGCAAAUCUGCUCAGAAUUUAGUUAUGGCUGAAGGAGUACUUGGUUCGAACAAUUCAUUGCUAUGACUGUGCAGUGUUCAGUUGAAUAUAAUGGAUGCUAGAGAUGGAUCAAAGGAAUGUGCAUUCAGCAGAGAGUGGCCCUACUCGGUAGUGCAUCUACCAAAUAAUCAUAUCGCUGCCGCGGCGUGCUGCCGUGAACACCACUGCCACAAGGCCUUUGAGGAUGUCCGCAUCACCUCACGGGAGGCACAAAUUGUUCAUACACUGCACUAGAUCUUUUGUAAUCGGAGGCACAGAUAGUCUGCAUUGUAUGUUUUCUUUGCCUAUGUAUUACAGUAUGUAAUGGGAACAUGUUGCACUGCUGAAUAGAGCUA